UCAGCUGACGAAGAUAGUGAUUCCCGUGAGCCAAUUCCAUGAUGCGCUAAGUAUUGUCAAUUCAUUAACUCUCUGACUGGCUGACCACGUAGUCAUGCGACAUACGGAAAUCGGGAAAUGAACGACAGUUGGUCUUUAAGUAUCCAUUUAGGCGAGGUCAUCCACUGCUGUCGUCAGGUACACACCUUGCCUCGACCUCCAGUACCAUGUGGACCGCUAUGCUGGGUGCUGCUGUGUUUGUGUGUGGGUGGUGCUGUGUCGUGUCCAGGGCCCCGGACACACUGAGACUGGUCAACCUGAUAUAUCGCCAUGGUGACCGAAGUCCAUACGCAACCUAUCCGAGCAAUCCCAACAACUGGAAGGACGUCUGGCCGGAUGGAUUUGGCUGGCUGACCACUG